rnacentral:rRNA from 1 species
UGGGGAAUUUUGGACAAUGGGCGCAAGCCUGAACCAGCCAUGCCGCGUGCAGGAAGACGGCCCUACGGGUUGUAAACUGCUUUUGUACCGGAAUAAACCUACUUAUGUAUAAGUAGCUGAAUGUACGGUAAGAAUAAGGAUCGGCUAACUCCGUGCCAGCAGCCGCGGUAAUACGGAGGAUCCGAGCGUUAUCCGGAUUUAUUGGGUUUAAAGGGUGCGUAGGCGGCCUAUUAAGUCAGGGGUGAAAGACGGUAGCUUAACUAUCGCAGUGCCUUUGAUACUGAUGGGCUUGAAUGUACUUGAGGUAGGCGGAAUGUGACAAGUAGCGGUGAAAUGCAUAGAUAUGUCACAGAACACCAAUUGCGAAGGCAGCUUACUAAAGUAUGAUUGACGCUGAGGCACGAAAGCGUGGGGAUCAAAC